GUGCCUUAAACUAAUGAGUAAGGAAAAUUAAGAGCACUGUUAGCGCUUUGCUCAGCUUCCGCACAUUGGGCCGAACUUCCCGAAUGGGAUUCGGUUUCGUAAGCAGAAAUUUUUCCUAGAGGUACAGGUCGUCCCCUCGCAGUCGUCGCCGCCUACUUUUGCGGCGAUACUCGGGCGUGCCAGCGAUCUGCCUC
rnacentral:snRNA from 14 species